rnacentral:rRNA from 1 species
GACGAACGCUGGCGGCGUGCUUAACACAUGCAAGUCGAACGGAAAGGCCCUGCUUUUGUGGGGUGCUCGAGUGGCGAACGGGUGAGUAACACGUGAGUAACCUGCCCUUGACUUUGGGAUAACUUCAGGAAACUGGGGCUACUACCGGAUAGGAGCUCCUGCUGCCUGGUGGGGGUUGGAAAGUGUCGGCGGUUUGGGAUGGACUGGCGGCUUAUCAGCUUGUUGGUGGGGUAGUGGCUUACCAAGGCUUUGACGGGUAGCCGGCCUGAGAGGGUGACCGGCCACAAUGGGACUGAGAUACGGCCCAGACGCCUACGUGAGGCAGCAGGGGGGAAUAUUGCACAAUGGGCGGAAGCCUGAGGCAACAACGCCGCGUGCGGGAUGACGGCCUUCGGGGUGUAAACCGCUUUCGCCUGUGACGAAGCGUGAGUGACGGUAAUGUGUAAAGAAGCACCGGCUAACUACGUG